rnacentral:lncRNA from 1 species
CGCCCCCAUCCUCCUGACCUCCUCCCUCUUCUUUUCUUUUCUUUCUCCUUUCCUCCUCUUCUCCCUCUCCCUCUUUUUAUCUUUCCGCACCUUGGGGAUGAAAAGGAUGCCAGCCUUGAUAUUGUCAGAUGACUUGCUUUAUUUAAAAGAACAAAUAGAAGUUGAGAAGGAUACUAUGCAUUUUUUUUGAAUUAACAGAGAAUUAGACAUUUGCUACAUUCAAGAUAUCUUUUUGGAGUUGAAUGCAUCACCUGGCAUCUCAUUUUGUUCUUCUAAUGGAUCUAAGUUCCUUUACUUUCUUUUACUUGUCCAUGAUAAAGUUACAAAUUUAACAGAUUCCGUACCUACAUUAUCAUCCUUGCUUCUCGUGUUGAGUCCAAACCAAAGAGUAGGAUCAAGUAAUAUUGUUUAUUCUAUACUUAUUAAGAUUGAAAUCAGAUCGGAUAUUAAUGUAUCCAUAUCUAUAUUUAUUUUAUCUGACGAAUAUAAUACGAAUAUGGAUAUUAUUCGGAUGAAAAAAUUCAUAUCCAUAUUUAUUUUAAAUAGAUACGAAUGCAAUUCAAAUACUGAAAGUAUGGAUAUAAUUACAGAUAUAGUUUAGAUAAUUAAAUUUUAUAACUACAGAAUCAAAAAUAUUACUAAAUAUAUGAUAAAUCAAAUUAAUAAUAUAUUUAUAUGUUAUAUAUAUUUUUAAAAAAAUAAUAAGUGAUAUAUAAAAUUAUAUAGGAUUAUAUGUAGAUUCGGAUAUUCGAAUAUGGAUUGGAUAGUUAUUUAUCCAUAUCUAUAUCUAUUGAAAACAGAUUCUAACAGAUAAUAUCCGUACCACUUUCAUCCCUAAUGCUUAUUAAAUACUACUGGGUUUUGUAUUCUAUUGUGAAAUCAUCUUGGUAUUCUUUUUAUGGAUGGAUAGCAAGGUCUCUUAAAGAAUAUUAUUGAAAUCAAACUAAAACGACAUAGAGUAUCAAGCUUUUUAGAUCCGAUGUCAUAGGGUGACAGAUCAAGCCCAUCUUCAUUUAUAAAUUAAAGUUCCAUCACUCAGGGAUGGUAAAUAAAUUUUGGAGAAAUACCCAUCUCCUAUAAAAAAAAUUAUUCAAAAAUAAAUUUUUGUCUUUGACAAAUGAAAUUGCAACAUAGGGACCUGAAAACUAGCUAUAAGAAGGUUCGUCCUUGUGGAAACUUAAUGGAAAAGAGACGGAUGUUAAAUCUGAUAAUGCAAUUAGAAGCUUAUUAGGCUAAACUUAUGAGAGCUCAGAUGGUGAAUGAUUAGGAUAACAAAAAUAGUAUAAUUAUAUUUGUUAAUCUUUUUCCCCUCCCUCUUGUCUAUAUGAUUUUUUCGUCUAUUAAAAGAGAGAUGAAUUGACGAUGCUAUGGGUGCAGAAGAUGGAGCUUUUCUCAUCGGUAUGGACCAAAAGCACUUGCCUUUUUAAUUCUUGUUUCCAAUUGGCUAGUAUUUGUGGAAAAAGGGAGAGGAAGAAAAAGAGAAAAAAAAGAGGAGAAAGAAGAGGAAGAGAAAGAAGGAGGAGAGGAGGAAAUAGGCAGUGUUAACAAGGAGGAUGAGGGUGAGGGAAUGGAGGUGGCCAGUGACAACAAUGGUGAAAGGCCGACUGCCAGCAGAGGUUGCGUGGUUGUUUCAGAGAGAAAGAUUAAAAGAUUAGAUAGAGUUAAGAUUUAGAGUUCGAAGAUGGAUUUUAUUUAUAAUGGUGAUUGUGACGAUGGAUUCAAUUGUCAUCAAUUAUAGCCAUAUCAAUUGAUAGAUAAGCAUGGUCAAUGAGCAUGAUCUUAAUUAGGAGGGGGUUGUAUAAUAUUGCAACAAUCUGAAAAAUAUAGAGCCAAUAUUAUAGUAGUGGAACAUAUAUAGAGAUAUUUAUAAAUUCAUGUAAAAUAUAAAAGAUUAUUUUAUUUAUUUGUUUGAUGAGACCUCUGGUUUCGUAGUUGCAUAUACGUANNNNNNNNNNNNNNNNNNNNUUUUUUAGAUUAUUAUAAUAUUAUACAUUAUCCUCUUAAUUGUUGCUGGAGCUAGUUUAUUGAUGGUGCUUAUUUGUUAGCUGAUAAAGAUGUAGAUUGCAAAAAAUAUCUACUUGUCAUUUGAUGUAAAGAGAAAUGCAUGCACCAACUGAUAUGGAAGAAUUAUGUGAUGAUUAGAUCUAUCAUCCCUAUUAUUUUCUUAAAUAAAACUCAUCCUCAAAUCCUAACCCUAAUUUCAUCCCUUUCUUCAUCCCUCAUCGAGAUGGCCCCCAUAGCAUCUGUCAGUGGCCCUCUUAAACCAACACCAUCCCAUCCCUCGGAUCCUCAUUGAUCCUCCGAUUGUUACCACCCCCAUCCUCCUGUCCUCCUCCCUCUUCUUUUUCUUUUCCUUCUCCUUUCCUCCUCUUCUCCCUCUCCCUCUUUUUAUCUUUCCACACCUUGAGGAUGAAAAGGAUGCCAGUCUUGAUACUGUCAGAUGACUUACUUUAUUUAGAAGAACAAAUAGAAGUUGAGAAGGACACUAUGCAUUUUUUUUUCAAUUGACAGAGAAUUAAACAUUUGCUACAUUCAAGAUAUCUUUUUGGAGUUGAAUGCAUCAUCUGGCAUCUCAUUUUGUUCUUCUAAUGGAUCUAAGUUCCUUUACUUUCUUUUACUUGUCCAUGAUAAAGUUACAAAUUUAGCAGAUUCCAUACCUACAUUAUCGUCCUCGCUUCUUCAUGUUGAGUCCAAACCAAAGAGUAGGAUCAAGUAAUAUUGUUUAUUCUAUGCUUAUUAGGAUUGAAAUCAGAUCGGAUAUUAACGUAUCCGUAUCUAUAUUUAUUUUGUCUGACGAAUACAAAUACGAAUAUGGAUAUUAUUCGGAUGAAAAAAUUCAUAUCCAUAUUUGUUUUAAAUGGAUACGAAUACAAUUCAAAUACUGAAAGUAUGGAUAUAAUUACAGAUAUAGCUUAGAUAAUUAAAUUUUAUAACUACAGAAUCAAAAAUAUUAUUAAACAUAUGAUAAAUCAAAUUAAUAAUAUAUUUAUAUGUUAUAUAUAUUUUUUUAAAAAAUAAUAAGUGAUAUAUAAAAUUAUAUAGGAUUAUAUGUAGAUUCGAUAUUCAAAUAUGGAUCGGAUAGUUAUUUAUCCAUAUCUAUAUCUAUUUUUUUGACGGAUAUGAAUAUGAAUACGGAUAUUAAUCAGAUCCUGAAAUUUCUAUCCAUAUCGGGAUUGAUCGGAUAUGAAUACAGAUUCUAAUGGAUAAUAUCCAUAUCACUUUCAUCCCUAAUGCUACUGGAUUUUGUAUUCUAUUGUGAAAUCAUCUUGGUAUUCCUUUUAUGGAUGGAUAGCAAGGUCUCUUAAAGAAUAUUAUUGAAAUCAAACUAAAACGACAUAGAGUAUCAAGCUUUUUAGAUCCGAUAUCAUAGGGUGACAGAUCAAGCCUAUCUUCAUUUACAAAUUAAAGUUCCAUCACUCAGGGAUAGUAAAUGAAUUUUAGAGAAAUGCCCAUCUCCUAUAAAAAAAAAAUAUUCAAAAAUAAAUUCUUGUCUUUGACAAAUGAAGUUUCAACAUAGGAACCUGAAAACUAGCUAUAAGAAGAUUCGUCCUUGUGGAAACUUAAUGGCAAAGAGACGGACGUUAAAUUUGAUGAUGCAAUUAGAAGCUUAUUAGGCUAAAUUUAUGAGAGCUCAGAUGGUGAAUGAUUAGGGUAACAAAAAUAGUAUAAUUAUAUUUGUUAAUCUUUUUGACGAUGCUAUGGGUGCAGAAGAUGGAGCUUUUCUCAUCGAUAUAGACCAAAAGCACUUGCCUUUUUAAUUCUUGUUUCCAAUUGGCUAGUAUUUGUGGAAAGAGGAAGAGGGAGAAAAAAAAAGAAAAAAAGAGGGGAAAGAAGAGGAAGAGAAAGGAAGAGGAGAGGAGGAAAUAGACAGUGUUAACAAGGAGGAUGAGGCUGAGGGAAUGGAGGUGGCCAGUGACAGCAAUGGUGAAAGGCCGACUACCAACAGAGGUUGCAUGGUUGUCUCAGAGAGAAGGAUUAGAAGAUUAGAUAGGGUUAAAAUUUAGAGUUCGAAGAUGGAUUUUAUUUAUAAUGGUGAUUGUAAUGAUGGAUUCAAUUGUCAUCAAUUAUAGCUAUAUCAACUGAUAGAUAAGCAUUAUCAAUGAGCAUGAUCUUAAUUAGGAGGAGGUUGUAUAAUAUUAUAAUAAUCUGAAAAAUAUAGAGUCGAUAUUAUAGUAAUAAAAUAUAUAUAGAGAUAUUUGUAAAUUCAUAUAAAAUAUAAAAAAUUAUUUUAUUUAUUUGCUUGAUGAAACCUCUGGUUUCGUAGUUGCAUAUACGUAACAGUUCCAUUCGGGGGAUGAUAACGGCCGGGGCUCACGAGUUUCUGGUGCAGCGCAGGACUGGGCGCUCUCUUACGAGUUCCCAGCUGGCACGUACGCGGAUCCCCAUCCGUAACCAUUAAUAAAACUACGCUCCCCCCGGUUACCCAACCAAAUCAAUACACGUCUCGAAGAGACACCAGCCUGUCCCCCCCUCUGAAAACGUUCUGAAAUUUAAAACUCCUCGACAAACGAACCCAUCUCUUUGCCCAAACUACCCCCCUUCUUAUCCCCCGACUUUCCCAUCCCUAAAACACCCCUACCCACCUCAGGUUGACUUACGGUUGCCCACUUCCCGAUUUAAGGGUAUUGUGGGAAGAAAACAAAUUUUCGUAAAUGUUACAGCCGCUGAUGGCACGCAAAAGCCAGCUGUCUGGUGACCGUUGUGCCCAGACCGCGUCCCCUUUAUGGGCCCCUAAAGCUCCCCUCCUGGCCCACCACCCUUGUCUUCUGUUUCCGCUCGCCUUCAUGAAUUAUUUAAUCAAUAACAUCAUCUCAUAACCCCUAAAGCUCCCCUCCUCACACUAUAUAAACCCCCUUCACGCCAUCCGUUCUCCCAACCCAAAUGCCACUCCCUUCUCUUCGUCUCAAAGAGAAGCGCCUAAUAUAACCCAAGACAUACCCUAUCCUCUUCUCUUCUCUUAUUGUUCUAUACCAAUGGCGUCUUCCAGUAUUAGCCCUUGUUUCCUUUGUAUCUUCUUAGUAGUAGCUUCUCUUCUAUUCCAGUGCUCCUAUGGGGCUAGAAAGCUCAAUGCUUUGGUGGAAGAACCAUCCCCUGUCUUAACCUACCACAAGGGAGCCCUCCUCACGGGACCUAUAUCGGUAAACCUCAUCUGGUACGGUAAGUUCACCGCCACCCAGCGAGCCAUCAUCUCCGACUUCGUCACAUCCCUCUCCUCGAAGGGUGGUGGCCAGAAGCAGCCGGUGCCGUCUGUGUCCACCUGGUGGAAUACCACCGAGAAGUACUACGCCCGGUCGAAGACCAAGUUCCCUACGCUUACCCUCGGCGACCAGAUCCUCGACGAGUCCUACACUCUCGGGAAGUCCCUCACGAACGCCGACAUCGCCAAGCUGGCGAGCCGCGGGGCGCCGAAGUACGCCGUCAACGUCGUACUGACGGCGGAUGACGUCGCCGUCGAGGGCUUCUGCAUGAGCCGGUGCGGGACCCACGGGACCUCACCCCGGUCCAAGUCCGGCCGGUUCGCUUAUAUCUGGGUCGGCAACUCGGCGACCCAGUGCCCGGGCCAGUGCGCCUGGCCCUUCCACCAGCCGGUCUACGGGCCCCAGAGCCCGCCGCUGGUGGCGCCCAACGGCGACGUCGGGAUUGACGGCAUGGUGAUCAACUUGGCGAGCAUGAUGGCCGGGACGGUGACCAACCCGUUCGGUAACGGAUUCUACCAGGGGCCGAAGGAGGCGCCGUUGGAGGUGGCGACGGCGUGCACGGGGGUGUACGCCAAGGGGGCGUAUCCGGGAUACGCCGGCGACUUGUUGGUGGAUCCCACCACGGGGGCGAGCUACAACGCAAAUGGGGCCCACGGGAGGAAGUACCUAGUUCCAGCCUUGUUUGACCCGUCAACGUCCAGCUGCUCUACCUUGGUGUAGUGGGAGUGGUGUGGUGUGUUCUGGGGAUGUAUACGGCUAAAGAGAGCAGUGGAAGAACGGGGAUAUAGAUUGUCUGUAAUUAUUUCAUUCAUUUUCGAAUUACGUUUUUGUUUCAUGUUAUUCAUUUGAUGCUUAAAAUUUAGAUAAUAGAGAUUAAAACCACGGGGAUGGUAGUAGAAUUAACAUUUUUCCAACUUGUGCUUGGCAUAGCCAAGGAGACCACAGGGGUGUACGGUUCUCUUGGUCAUCCUCAACCCACGUGACUGUUCAAGGCCCGAAUCCGGUUCGAUGGUGAGGGGACCUACUCGAUCAUUGUGAUUUGAAUAUAUCUUAUAUGUAUUGGAAUCCUAGAUGAUGAUAUAAUCACGGAAUUUGGUUCUUAGUGGUGGAAGCUUGGUUAGGCCCGGUAGGGCGGUACGUUGCUUCUGGCAGCUUUCGAUCUUCGAAUUAUAAAUAAUAAUUUCAAAAUUUUAAGUUCCGAGGGGUUGGAUUGUCACUUGAAUUUGCAACUUUUGAGAUGGAUUUUUUUUUUUUUUUGGGGUUUCACGCGCUUUUUCUUUCUCCCUUGUUUUUGUCCUUUUUCUUUAUUUUCUUUUGUAUACCCCUUCCAUUAUUUUGGGUUCACCGGCAACCUCCUCUAGUACGGCCGCUUCUCCGCCACCCAACGCUCCAUCGUCGCCUACUUCCACCUCCACCAGUCCCUCCUCCGGCAGCUAGCCACCACCCCUUCCGCCACCUCCUGGUGGAGCACCACCGCCGUCGAUGGCGGCACGGGCCGCCCUCUCCCUCGGCCGCCAGCUCCUCGACGACCACAACGCCAUUGACAAAUCCCUCUUCCCCUCGCCCCUCUCCCUCUCAGAGCCUCUGAAUCCGGCACGUCGUCUGCCGACAUCAACGUCGCCCUCACCUCCGCUGACGUGGCCGGCAACGUCUUCUGCUCGAACCGGGGCGGGACACACCGCCCGUAGUCCGGAUCGAGCGGGUUCAUCUGGAGCGGUGACUUGGUGGUCCAGUGUCUGGGCCAGUGCGCGUGGCCCUUCCAUCGGCCGGUCUACGGCUCCCAGACCCCGCCGUUAGUCACUCCUAACGGCAACGUCGGGAUGGACGGCGUGAUCAUUAGCCUUGCCCGCUGACGCGCCGUUAAAGGCGGCAUCUGCAUGUACGGUGAUAUUUGGGCCAGGGGCUUAUCCUGGAUAUCGGGGCCGGGUUUUGGUGGAUAAGACCAGUGGGCUAAUUAUAACUUGAGAUGGGAAUUUAAAGCCAGACUGAGGCACACAAAUAUUACAUUUUAAACUGAUCCAGUCCAAAGUCCGACUAAAACUGAAUAGAGUUUGGGUCCGAGGCCCGACUAAAUAUGAGUAGAAUUUGAGACCCGAUGACGUCUUAUCAUUCCACCCUCGUAUAGAGAAGAAAGUUGUAAGCGGAGUUAUAUAGUUGCUUUCUCUUAUGAACUUUUCCUUAUUUUUUAACAAAAUAAUUAUCAUGUAAAUGGAAGCACAAUAAGGAUGUUGACCUCCCGUAAUUAAAUGGGCUAGAAUAAUGUUGUAUGAUUGUAACGUUUUCUUGAUCAGGAGAAUUUCAUUUGCACUGCUCUUAACAGUAUCGACGGGUUCCAUAAUUUGAAUCGUAGGGUUUGCUUACCAAAUUAUAAUACUAAGAUCUCCCCUAGGAAUAUUGUCAAAAAGAAGAAAAAAAAAAAAAACUACCCUCGGAACUAUGGGUUUACCACAAGAUGUGUUUGGGCAAGCAUUAUCAACUUUUUUGAACUAAUUCUUAAGUCCCUUUAACUGAGAAAAAAUGGAGAUCUAUUAUUCCAAUUUUUCGUAGCAUUUUUAGCAAUGGGCAGCAUCUAGUGGACAGUGUUAACUAACAUGCCGAUCAAUCUACUCGUGAUGUUUCUCUCGGGUUUUUUUUUUUUUCCUCUCUCUCUUCCCUGAAGAGAGCAUAAAAUUUUGGGAGUAUGAGGUAAAAGCUCUCAUGCAUCUGCCUAUCUCUUUUACUUGGGGGCUUUGAGUUGGAGAAGCUCUGUAAAGUGUUUGGGAAAAUUGGGUGGAACUUGAUUGAUGUGUCAACAUAUUUAGAAUGUCCUAGAAGUGGCAGGAGCAUGUGACUUUUUGUAUGACAGACUAUAUAUACCUUUUCUUUUAUGGCAGCAUAAAUCAGGUGAUAUUAAGUAUCAUUAAAAUAAUUUCAAAGUAUAAAUUUAUAAUUAAAUAAGAAGCUAAUCAGCAUUCAUCAAGGGCCAAAGAAUCAGUGACAAUAUUUUUAUUGCCAAUAAGUUGGUUCAAAACUUUCAUCUUUCUGCUGCUGAUUUUUUAAAAGCCUUUAUUUUUUUUUUACACCAUUGGGUUGGAAUAACAUAAACCAAUCUUUUUUUUCUUUCCUUACAUAACUCCAUGAAUCACUUGUUUCUGAUAUUCAUAUGCCUUACAAUGCUUUGAAGAAAGUGGUGAUCAUAUUCCUGUUAGAUUAAUUAUUAUUUCGUUUGCAUUGAACAUUUUCCAUGGGAGUGGUUAUUAAACUGCAAAUGUUCACCUUGAACUUGCCAAGAGUGUUUCAUAUGUAGAACCUCCUAUGGGGGACAGUUACCAUGCUCUUUGUUGCUUAAAUUUUGUAGACGGUAUGGUUGCAAGGCUUUCUAGUGAAUGGCCUUUCCAUUUCCUAUUUAUCUAGAUCAUACAUUUAUGCUUGCUAUAAAGCAUAUCCUUCUCAUAAAAGCCCAAAAUGCUCUUUCUAAGUUCUACAUCACCAAUGUUUAGCUUUUCUUAUAACAUCUUUUUGUUUACGGUCUUCAGUCUAAUUCACAGCUGUGUUAUAGCUUCUCCGUGAGUGUAAUAGGUAAAAAUUUUUGUCCUAUGGGUGAUUUAAGUAGUGGGGAUCGAGAGGGGUUAUUUAACUUUUGAUGGAUGCACACAGCGAAUUCUAGAUAAAUAUAAUGAUGUAACGAGUACAAGAGGGAAGACAUCGAGGGAAUUCCGCACGGGAUUCGUGUCAAAGGUUGCUGCACACGGGACUUAGUCGCACUAAACAAAAAAAAAAAAAAUACAUCUACCAUUGCAAAGACCACACGCUCACGGAUUUGCACGUGAGAAGUCGCAUGGCUGCUGAAUGAUCCAAUUGCGAGUUAUAUGCACGAAAAUCCAUGCUCCGCCACACCUGUGCAUUAUCUUAGACACCUGUCCCACACGUGUCCCACAGAGUAUGUCGGCAGUCCUGUCUCCUCUUCAGUCUCGUCCCUUUCUCCCUUCAGAAUCGUAAUAUAAUAUGAGCUCGGACCACCACGUGCGACACCAUCCCCUCGCACGCGCGAAAACGCUCCCAUGCCCUUCCCUCUUUUGCUCCUCGUCCUUUAGCCAGCACCCGUCUUUUGACCCGCUCCUUGUCGACUCCAUCACCUUUACAACUGUGUGUGAAUGUGGCACGCCUGACUGCGAUGUAUAUAAAGUUUAGGAUCCUUAAUGACGAUUAGGACCACCCAGGUCCGCCCCUUAAUGAUGCUGGGGUCCAGGCGAGCUUGGCCUUUUCCAUGUCGGCUGAGCUUAUCUUAUAUUAUGUGGAGCAGAAGGCAAAGCUAUGGCUUGCUAGCUUAUACCAUGAAGGUUCUGAUUGUAUCCUAAAAUAUGUGAGACAGAGUACGCACAGAUUCCCCGUGCACCCACGUUUUAAUUUGAUUGUUUGGCCACCUUUGGCUUGGUACCGUUCUUGGUCCAUUGGUGGGAUCAUAUCUUCUUAUUUUUUGGUCUAAUAACCAACUGUAAUGAUGAUGAGAUCUGUUUGCAAUUUUAAUAAAUUGGGUAGCUUUUCCCCCUCCCUUUCCCUUGAAGUAAAAGAUCCCACCAUUAAGUACACACCGUAAGAACAGGCAUUGGUGCAACGUAUCGGCCAGCUUAAUUUGGUUACUUUCUUGGUGGCAAGACCUGUCCGGACUUUAAUAAUUUGCAUUCUAACUAGUUCAAAACAGUUCUAUAAUUUGUCCAAUAUUAUCAUAUUUCAGUGCUACAAACAUUGAAUGCACAGCUUGCUAGCCUAGGCUACCACCCUCAAAUCACGGCAAAAUAUCUGAAGUUUACCAUUGGUUUCGCUACUCAAUUAAUUUAGCUAUUAAUAAUAUAUGCUCUCUAUAUAAAUUUAUGAAAAAUUGGAAUCCGAGAAGAUAGUGGAUGGAGAUGAUGACGAAUAAAAAUAUAUAUUUUUUUUCUUCUGUUGGCUAAUCAUGGAUUCAGAGCUAAAACUAACUGGUCCCCAACAACAUUGUGGUCAUGUUAAGCAUCCAAUGAGCUUCACGAGAUCUAUAGUGUAGAUAUUUAUUUGACCUACAUGACCGUACCACUAAUUAUCUAAAGUUCUUUAGUCUUGGUGCCUCCCAAAGUGAAGACGCUCUUAGCAUCACAAAUCACAGCCUAGCUCGAAGAGAGUGGCAACAAAAAGGAAGAAAAAACGAACGGUUGUUACAUUAAACGAGAUGGUGACGAAGGUACGACACCCUCGCAGAUGUUGGUGCCACGUCUCCCCAUCUGUUUUGUCCCAUGAGGCAAUGAUAAGCAUGGGGAAGAUAAAGGUGUAAAUAGGUCAGCACAAGAGGGCUAUUCUGGUAGUUUCAACACUGGCGUUCUUGUCACACUUCCCUGCUUUCUUUAUCCCUUGGCUGUCACGUCAUCGAUUUCUACCGCCCCGGGUUCUGCGCAAAGGUUGGGGUCUCCUUUCUCGUUCUCCGUGGAGGAGUGGAUGCUGUCACCCCUGACACGUUAGGUGACCCCGUAGAAGGAUUCCCCGACCGGAUCCAAAUCUUAGCCAGCCCGGAACAGAUCCAUUACCCAGGGAACUCCAAGCUGGACAUAAAGAGCUCAUAAGGAAUGCUUAAUUGACAAGUUGAUGGUACCAAAUCAAGGUAUUGCGUCUUUGUGCAGGAGAUGGUAGUCAUACAAUAUGAAAAAAGUUUGUGUUGUGCCAAAUCUUGUUUUGAUAUAAAUCUAAAUCAAUGUGGCUUCAAUCUAAUUUCUUAAGAAGGGUCCCGUAGUUUAAGAAAUUACCAACUAUUUAGUGCUUGGACAAAAAUUAUAUGCCUAGUUACGAUUAAAACAAGUCUAUGUAUUAUGUUCAUCUUAUCUAAUUGUUGUGGCAUUAAUUUUGGACUUUGUAUUUGUUUAAUUAUAAGCUCGAUGCAUCAUGCAUCUUUGUCAUGCAAAUAAGAUGUACGGUAGCUUUGAUAUAUACUAACUCCUUUACAUGUAUUUUUAUGAUUCAUAAAGAUCUAGAUAUUGUGUGUGAUUAUACCUAUACUAAUAUACCAGAUUUCAUUAGACCUUUGCAUAAAAUCUAGACAUGAUCUUAGGAAAAAAAGGCAUUUCAUGUCUUAGUUGAUUCUAAUUUCAAUCAAUUGUUUACAAGAUGCAUGCAAGAAUAUCUAGUGGCCCAAUUCAUUCUAAUAUCUUGGUAAUUUGCUGGUUCACACGUGCACAACUUGUGAAAGAAUAUCUGGCGGCCAAGUGAUCCUAAUAUCUUGACAAUUUACGGAUGAACACCAAAAUAUUAUCGCAUGCAUCCGGCAACCAAAAUAAACCAACUUCAACCCGACCGAAAGACAUGCUCCUCCAUUUCAGUGCGGUGACCAGAUCCCAAAGGCCCCUCCCUACGAACCACCAGUUCCCGGUGCCCCCGUGUCAACCCCUGUUAAAAUAUACCCCCUCUCCGUUAAGUCUACGUCGCUCGCAUUACCGCGGUCUCCAGCUGUUCCCCUCGUCCCCCACUCUCCAUCUCCCCACCCCUACUCCCCACCUCCCUCCCCCUAUAUAAAUGCUUUCGCUUACUCAACUUGCAAGCCACAGUUAAACCCAAAGCCAAGUACCAGCCGUCUAAAACUGCCAGGUUUAAAGCCCUAUGGCUCUCUCACCACUGUUCUCUCUUCUCUCUUUCUUGCUCUUGUUUCACUCCUCCGUGGCCGACCCCAGGAACCUUAUCCUGGUCCAGCAGCAGCCCCUAGUCCUCCAGUACCACAACGGCCCACUCCUCACCGGUAACCUCACCGUCCACCUCCUGUGGUACGGCCGCUUCUCCGCCACCCAGCGCUCCAUCCUUGCCGACUUCGUCAGUUCCCUCUCCCCCGCCUCUGCCUCCUCCCCGCCGGCCCCAUCCACCGCAUCAUGGUGGCGCACCACCGCCCGCUACCGCGCCGCCGCCUCCAGCGUCUCCCUCGGCCUCCAGCUUCUCGACGAGAAGUACUCCCUCGGUAAAACCCUCACCUCCGCCGACCUCGCCACCCUCGCCUCCCGCGCUGGGCCCCACCACGGGGCGGUCGCCGCCGUGCUAACCUCCUCCGACGUCGCCGUCGAGGGGUUCUGCAUGAGCCGGUGCGGGACCCACGCGUCCGCCCCCGCCGCCCGUCUCGGCCGGGCCCGGUUCGCCUAUCUUUGGGUCGGCGACUCGACGGUCCAGUGCCCGGGCCAGUGCGCCUGGCCC